CUAGUGUUCCCUCCGUCCGAAAAUACUUAUCGAAAAAAUGAAUGUAUCUAAACGUAUUUUAGUUCUACAUACAUUCAUUUUCAUUCAUUUUUGCGACAAGUAUUAGCGGACGGAGGGAGUAUCAU
rfam:Triticum aestivum genome assembly, contig: Triticum_aestivum_CS42_TGACv1_scaffold_112531_2AS